AUUGUGUUUUCCAGUACAUGUAGUUCCAAAGGUUAGAGUGUGUAGUACAAAUAGCUGAUGAUUCAUAUGAUUAGAUCCAGAAGCUUUUCUUUUGUGUGUGUAUAACUUGUGUUAUGAUGUAUAAUUGAAAACCCUAAACCACCAGUGGAAGUCAACUUAAAGGGGCACUCACAUUCUCCCUUAUUUUUUGUAUGAUUUAGGUAAAUGCCAUUUUGGGGUUGGUUGUGACAUUUAAGGGGUCGGGAUGUUGGGUCAGAAUGUUUCGUUUGUGUAAUAUGCUAAUUAGGUUAACUUUUUGUGUAUCUGUAUUCUUCGUCAAGAGAGGGCGCUAUUGCACACCACCCUGAAACAAGUCAGUUGGGUUAAAACGUUUAGAUAACGUCAAACUUUUCAUGUCAACGUCACUUUUCGUCACGCAAUUUGUUGUUUUGGACAGCCCAAAGUCAUUAAACCGUGUUACGUGUUACGUGCUUCAUGCUUCAUGUUUCGUGUCUACGUGAUUAAAGAUGCGAGUAUACUGUUGCUGAUACAU